UACAGAGGUCCCAAGCGUUGUUCGGAUUCACUGGGCGUAAAGGGUGCGUAGGCGGCCAACUAAGUCCGACGUGAAAUCCCAAAGCUUAACUUUGGAACUGCGUCGGAUACUGGAUGGCUUGAAUUCGGGAGAGGGAUGCAGAAUUCCAGGUGUAGCGGUGAAAUGCGUAGAUAUCUGGAGGAAUACCGGUGGCGAAGGCGGCAUCCUGGACCGACAUUGACGCUGAGGAGCGAAAGCUAGGGGAGCAAACGGG
rnacentral:rRNA from 1 species